UAGAUCCCACAUGCUGCAACUAAGAGUUUGAACGCUGAAACUAAAGAUCCCGCGUGCCACAACGACAACCCAGUGCAGCCACGUGCAUAAAUAUUAAAAAAAAAAAUUCAUUGAAAUGCCAUCAUCCAGAAAUAGUUAAAAUUUUGGUGUCUUUCUUAUGUGUUUCUGUUAAUGGUUUUAUGUAAUACUACCCAUCAGUUUUUGAUCUCUUAUCAUAUAUCAGUCACUGUGCUGAGAAUCUGCCAGGGGUUGUCGUUUUAAUCCUUAUGAACUAGGUACUAGUACUAUUAUUAUUAUCAUUUUACAAAUGAACAAAAUUAGUUAAAAAAAACUUCCAAGUUCAUAAGCUUGUAAUUGGAAAGGCCAGGAUUUAUAUAAAUUGGUAUUAUUGUUAUUAUUAAUCAUGAAGAAAUUGGGAUCAUACUGUCUUGCAAUCAUUUCAUCUGUAUAUCUUUAUAUCCUUAGCAUGCCUUUGAUGGGGAGGCUUUUUAAUGACUGCCUUUGUAUUUUGUCAUAUAAAUGUAAUAUAAUUUAUCACCUGGGAUGACAUUUAUGACGUUUCUAAAUUUCUCAUUAUUACAAUUAUUGUAAUGAUAAGCCCUGCUUGUCACAGGUCUUCAUUGCUGUUUCUGAUUAUUUCCAGAGCCUUUAUUCCUCUAGCAGAAUUGCUAAUUCAGUGGGCGAGCAUAUUUUCAAAGCUUCUGAUACAUGUUACCAAAUUGCCUUCCAGGAUACACUCCUCUCCACUCUACUCCCCACUCCACCCCCCCAAAGUUUGAUGGACCCAUUUCCCUUGAUCCCUUGCCAGUACUGAGAUUCUCAUUUGAAGAAACCUUGACUAAUUUGCUAGGUGAAACAUACCAUAUUUGAAUCAUGUUUUUUUCCAUCAUUGUCUUCAGUAAGGUCCUACAUAGUGUUUGUUGAAUGAAUGAUCCCGUUUUGAGUUUCGGGAUCUGUAGUUUUUACCCCUCUUUUGUUUGCACCUUGUAAUCAAAAUAAGCCAUUAAGAAAUUGAGUGGUGGAAUAUGAGAGUAUUUUGUACCAAGUGAGCCUCUCCUGUAGGGAAAAGGCAUAAAUACUGUGUUCCUUUAAUAUUUUGCUGGUUUGGAGGCUUUGUGUGCCUAAAGGAGGAUAGUUUUAUUUCUAUGUUCUUGGCUAUGGAUCCUGUUGAAAUGAUGGUGUAAGUAAGCAGAUGAGCAAAACAGUAUGUUUUACAUUGUAUUAUUCUCUAUCUCUUGUCUCUGUGUAGAACCUUUUAUGAGCUCCUUGAAGGCAAGCAUUGUGCACUUUAUUCACAAUGUUGAGAAAAGUUAUCCUUAUUUAUGAGUACUAUUAUCCAAUAAAAUUGAAUAUAAGUCAAGUCUCAUUUUCUACUUGUUGAAAAUCCAUCAGAUGUUUCUUUCUUUUUCUUUUUUUUUGCCUUGCUGCAUAGUUUGUGGGAUUUUAGUUCCCCAACCAGGGCUGGAACCCACACCCUUGGCAGUGAGAGUGUGGAGUCCUAGGCAACUCCCCAAUCAGAUGUUUCAUUGUAAAAAUCAUUUUGCAGACAUUUGUUACACACUUAUUGAAUUCCUGAUACUCUGUUUGGCUCCUGGUUUGAAGAACACUGUGCAGCUGUGUGAAGCAGUUUAGGUGAUAGACGAUAGGGAUUGCAUGUAAGAUUUUGGAAUAGAGCUGAGAUGCUGUGGAGACAGAAAAGACUCCCUGGGGAAUGUUGGUCAGGGACACUUGCAUGAAGCAAGUAGGGCCUUAAUCUGAGCCAUGAAGGAAGUGUCUGCUUUUCAUUUGCAGAGGUGUAAGGACUCUUCCAGAUGGGGAAGCGGUGAGCGAAAGUCCAGAGCCAGAAAUGAGGAAAGGGAGGAUGAGAAGAAGAGCUGCCAACUGAAACAGAUUUUGUUUCAGUGAGAAAUCAGGAGAAUUAUUGCAAAAGGUAUUAUCACUGUGAAGUUGAAUUUGAAAAUGGCGGUAAGGUCAAGUGUCGCAGGACAUGCUCAAGUUCUUGCAUGCUUUAGGACUCUUUGAUUUCACUCUGUGUUGCUAGAAUUGAAUCCACCCACCUGCUCCUCCUUCCUCUCAAGUCUGAGUCGUCAGCGUCUUUAAAGUUGUGGUGAUGAAAGUAUGGCCCUUGGCUCCCAGUGUGGGGGCCAUCUCAAGAUCCUUUCAUAGCAGAGCCCCUCAGCUUCAGAUGCUUUUGCUACUCAGAUGUUAUUUACUUUUUUCAUCAUGUUAACAUUUAAACUGAUGGUGCAAAAGCAGUGGCAGGUAAAACUGCUCGUGCCUUUCCCUAAAUCAAGGCAGUGGCACCAAAAUCAUUCCUCCCUCGUGGUGAAAAAGAAAAAAGAGAAUCACGUUCCCUUCAGAUUGUUCUUCGUGAAACAGUAAAAGAAAUAUUAAUUUUAUCUAAUCUUGAUUCCCAAUAACACUUUUCCUUUUCUAAAAAAAAAAAAAAUAGUUGGUCUCUCUCUCUCUUUUUUUUUUUUUCCACUGUUGUGUGCACCCUGUGGGAUCUUAGUUCCCUAACUAGGAAUCAAACCUGGGCCCCCGGUGGAAGUGCAGAGUCCUAACCACUGGACUGCCUAGGAAGUCCCAACUUUUUAAAAGUUAUGAUUAGCCAACAAUAAAACCGACCCUUUUUAGUGUAUACUUCUGUGAAAUUUGACAAAUGCAUGUAGUCAGUAACCACCACCUCCACAAGUAAGUUGUAGGACAGAUCCAUCACCUCUAGAAGUUUCUCUCUGUCCCCCUCCCGCCAUGUCCAGCACCUGGCAACUACUGAUGUGUUUUCUCUCCCUAUAGUUCUGCCUCCUCUGUAAUGUUACAGAAAUGGAAUCAUACAUUGUGUGGCCAUCUAACUUCUUACACUUUGCAUGAUGCAUUUGGGAUUUGUCCUUAUUGUUGCACGUAGGCAUGGUUUGUUCCUUUUUAUUGCUGAGUACUAUUCCAUUGUGAAGGUGUACCAGAGCUGUCCAUUCCUUGGUUGAAGGACAUUUGGCUUGUUUUCAGUUUUUGGCUAUUAUGACUAAAACCACUGUAAGAAUUUGCAGGUUGUUGUGUGAGUGUGUGUGUUUUUGUGUCAUCUUGAAGUGGCGUUGUUGGGUCAUAUGGUAAAUGUAUGUUUUGUAUGUUUAAUUUUAAGAAACAACUACACUGUUUUCCAGAAUGGCUGUACAAGUUUGUGUUGCCACCAGCAAUCCAUGAGAGUUCCAGUCACUCCACUACCUGGUCAGCACUUGGCAUUGUCGGUUGGUUGUGUGAGGCCAUUCCAAGUUUGUAGUGGAAUCUCAUUAUGGAUUUACUUUGCAUUUUUCUAAUGACUAAUGGUAUUGGGCAUCGUUUCGUGUGCUUACUUGUCACUUAUAUGUUAUCUCUAGCGAAGUGACUGUGCAGAUCUUUUGCCCUACCCCCCUUUUUUUUAAGAAAUCAACUCAGUUUUCUUUUUUAAAGAUUUGUUUGUUUAUUUUGGAAUGUGCUGGGUCUUCAUUGUGCCCAUUUUUUUAAUUGGGUUUGUUUAAGUUUUGAGAGUUUAAUAUAUAUAUAUGUAUAUUGUAGAUACAAGUUAUUUAAUCAGAAGCGUAACUCACAGUUGUUUUCUCCCAACCUCAGUACGCACUUUAAUAUUCUUCGUGACAGCAUGAGAGAGUGCAUGGGGCACUUUUGCUGUACUGUAAGAUGACUGACUCCAGCGAAGGCCCUUCGGUGAUGCAGUUGCAAGCUGAAAUAGCUUGCUUUUUCCUCCACAGAAUCUCAUUUUCUUCUUCAAAGAAUGACUUGCAGACUGGUUAUUGAGACUUGCAUAUGCUCACAAGGAUCAAAAUUAUCCAUUAAAAACCUUGAGAUUUUUCUCAAAAAUGAAUGAGGUGAACCUGUCACUUCUUGGAAAACAACUGACAAUAUUUUUACGGAUGAUGAAAUUAGGGCCUUUUUUAAAAAAAGAAUUUGGGAAGCUUGAUUCAACUUGUAUCAUGUUACAGAUUCCAAGUAGUUAAAGUUUUUGUAGUGGGAUUGGUGGUGAUACUAUUGUAUGAUUUUGGAUGUUGUGUAAUGAAAUGAGUCAGCAUUUGGAAGAUCUUUGAUGCUUGGUAAAAUACUUUGCAAAUGACCAGUACAUGAUGGGUGAAAGAUUCAUUCACUAUAGAAGAUGGAGCAGUGAGUUGCAAUGUAUGAGGUGUUCACAAGGUCUUUGGUGUGGUUUCAGCUUCAUAUUGCCGCUAAGCUUUAAGAAACUGCCACUUGUCGAGUUUUCUUAGAGCGACAAAAAAGAAUAUCCACAAUUAUCUGAAAAGACUGUUAAAGUACUCCUCGCUUUUCCAACUAUAUAUCUGUAUGAGGCUGGAUUUCUGUCAUCUGCUUCAACCAAAACAUAUGUAAACCAUCAGUGUAAACGCAGUUGUAAGAAUAUACCUGUCCUGCUGUUAAACCAGAUAUUAAAGAUUUGCAAAAAUGUGAAUCAGUGCCAGUCUUCUCACUAAAUAUUUUUAUUUAAGAAAUUUUUUGCAAAACAUUAACAUACAGUAAUUUCAUUGUAAUGUUUUAUUAAUUGGUAAAUAUUUUAAAAUAUGUUUGAAUUUCUAAUACGGUAUGUGACAACAGAUAAAGAGCCCACAUCAAAUUAAGUUCUUUGGGGGUCUUCAGUAAUUUUGAAAAGUGCAGAAGAGCCCUGAGACCAAAAAAGUUUAUGGAUCAGUGCUUAAGAGUUUAAUUCCAGCAUCCUGGUUGUCUGGUGGUGGUGGAGAAUGUGGUAUGCUCCAGCCUGAGACUUCUAGUUUUCAAAAAACAAUUCAGAAUUCAGAUUUCCUUUACAGAACUGGUAAUUUUUAUGUCCUUUAGAAUGAGAUAUAUCGUCUUAGAUAACUUUUUAACUGCCUUCUAUUAUCAGAGAAGGUAUUCAACACAAUUCAACACAAACUUCCCUUCACCAAGUACUUCAUAUUAUGGGAAAAUGUAUGCCCUUUUCUUUACCAGAUCAGCCAGAAACCUCAAUAAAGAGUAAAAAUAGUAGAUUUGCAUCUCAGUUACUUAGUCCUUCCUCUUUUUGUCUCAGAUAAGAGUUUCUCUUUAGCACUUAAAGCAUAGGGCUGAUGUGAGAGGAGCAAUGAGGGGACUUGCUGAAACCAUGCACUGGGUGUGAACAUAGUAGACUGUUCCUGGUAGAUUGAUUGUGGGCCACAGAGCUCAGUGAUUUAUCCAGCCGGAUCCAGUGUCUAUAAUUCUGUAUUUAACAUUCAGCUUUUUAGCUCUCAUCAGUAUUCACAGUCCAAGAUAUUAUAAGGUACCUUUUUUCAUUUUGUUAGUGCUGUCUCCUCUGACACUUGAAAUGUCAGAGGGAAUAGGAUGCAUGCAGCUCCCUGUUUUAAAGCCAUAGGCAACAAGCACACUGAUUGAACACCCAGAAGAGUCGGUUAAGAAAUUAUGGAAGGAUCAUAACAGAUAUCUUAGUUUAGGAGCAUGAAGGUUAUAAUCUUUGUACACAAGAGACCAUGAUUAUAAAAUGACUCCUUUUUGGCUUUUAUACAUGGUAGUGUUAGAUUAUAACAUUUAAUGGUAGAUAUUGGCCCAGUGGUGGGGAGAAAGGUUUUUAAGACCUUGCGGCUGUAUCUAUAACCUAAAAGAAAAUAGACCGUAGUACUUAAUGGCCUAGUCUCACCCCCUGAACUUGAAGCACACUAAUCUUCUGUGCAGAGUAGAAAGUACAGUAGAGAUAUAUAAAGCUAAUACUGUUGGGGAAUCUUCUAAUGAGAUUUUGAAUUUUAAAAUGUCUCAGGUUAAAAUACUUACCUUCUAAAAGACAAGCUGUGUAACAGUAACUCUUCUAUCUACCCUUUUUUACCCCCCUUUCACAGCAGUCUUCCUAAGGAAAAGAAAGUUGUUUUAGAAUCUUCAUCUGAAUAUAAAUUACUUCGCACCAACUAGCAGCAUGUGUGAAUGUUAAUGGUCCUUUAGUUAAUUUGUAUUAUAGCUUCUUAGAUUAUUAAGUAUGGUCUGUUAGAAAAAUUAAAUUUUGUCCUUUACAAAAUUUAAAGGACACCCUGGUGGCUCAGAUGGUAAGGAACCCACCUGCCAAUGCAGGAGACACAGGAGACGCAGGUUUGAUCCCUGAGUUGGGAAGAUCCCCUGGAGAAAGAAAUGGCAACCCACUCCAGUAUUUUUGCCUGGAAAAUCCCACCGACAGAGCAACCUGGGGUCACAAAGAAUGAAACGACUGAGUGGCUGGCAGUUUCACUUUACGAACAAACUUGAUGUUAUAGCUGCUUAAGUGGUGGCUGUUUUAUUUUGAAAUCAACUGAAAACAUAAUACUCAGACUAUAAUUUAAAUUUUUGAAUUUUGAUAUUUGUCUGUGAAGAGCCUUCUGUAACAACGGAGAAACACUUUGGGGAAUGGUGGUUCGUUGCUGAGAGUGGGGUCUGAUUGCAAUGGUUAACAUAAGUCUUGUGUUAACUUGUUCAUAGUAAGUGUUGUCUCAUUUCUCUCCUUUCCCUUCACCUGG